GCUCGACCUGCGGGUCGAGCAUUAAACAAACGCUUUACAAUACAGAGAAGAUUAGCAUGGUUCCUGUGCAAGGUUAACACGCAUUAUUGAAGAGAAGCAAUCCUUUUUU
rfam:Fragilariopsis cylindrus CCMP1102 unplaced genomic scaffold FRACYscaffold_4, whole genome shotgun sequence.